rnacentral:rRNA from 1 species
AAUGAACGUUGGCGGCGUGGAUUAGGCAUGCAAGUCGAGCGAGAACCGUAGCAAUACGGGGACAGCGGCGCAAGGGAGAGUAAUACGUGGAUACCUACCCUCGGGUCCGGGAUAGCUGCGGGAAACUGCAGGUAAUACCGGAUGACAUCUCCGGAUCAAAGGUGUGAUUCCGCCCGGGGAGGGGUCCGCGUCCUAUUAGCUAGUUGGUGAGGUAACGGCUCACCAAGGCUGUGAUGAGUACGGGGUGUGAGAGCAUGCCCCCGCGCACUGUGACUGAGACACUGCCCAGACACCUACGGGUGGCUGCAGUCGAGAAUCUUCGGCAAUGGGCGCAAGCCUGACCGAGCGACGCCGCGUGCGAGAUGAAGGCCUUCGGGUUGUAAAUCGCUGUCAGAGGGGAGGAAAUGCCGGUGGGUUCUCUCAUCGGUUUGACCUAUCCUCAGAGGAAGGACGGGCCAAGUUCGUGCCAGCAGCCGCCGUAA